CAUCCUACAGCCAGACCUGCUCUGAUACCAAGCCUGUGGCACCCCGGCUAAGAGAAAACCGGAACGCCCCGUAUUCCAGCCCGGAGAUCGAGGUGAAGUCUUCUGGAAUACGGCACUUCUUAGCAUUGAACAAACCAGCUUACUAUUAUUACACGAAUAUGAAUACAAUGUCUCCGAUAUUACAAUGAAUAACAUCGGCACGACGACACUACACUAUCCUCAGUUGCUCUAUGCAAGCAGCAUAACAAGUUGAGGCAGCGAAACAACUACUGGCAACGGAACAACGAAUGGCGAUGAUGGACUCCAAUCCGCAGGGACUCUGGUUGGAACACUUAUCCUAGCUCGCGAACACAGGAACAACACCAAACAAUCAAGCAAUCCAGGCACGACCUACAAGCUGGCAUGACACGCCAGGUUAGUACAUUGAAUCUACUUGCAAGCUCACAAUAACCAGACGCAUUCAAGACAAACAACAGCAUGGCAAUUACAGGUUAAUCAGGGAUUAUCAUGAGAUCAUCAGGAUAACAUGACAUGAACAAUAUGAACAUAAUAUCGCUAGGACAAUAUAUGAUCAUGGCAUGAACAUAUAAAUCUGAUGAUACUAGCAUGCAACAUGAUGACACACAUGCACCAUUUAUUCUGUUCGGUUUACCUCGUAACCAUCACAUGCAUCACUUACCAACCUCGGACAUCACACGAUCAUCUCAGGAUCAAAUCAAGCUUGGUAUAAACAAUACCGUAGUAAUCAUUAAAUGACCACAAGGAGAUUGAUUUUUACCCAUGAUUCUCGCACAACAUCACGAAUGUACAACAACUCGGUGAUCAUUCAUGGAUCACAAACGGAACCACUCUGGGUUCAACGGGCUACCUCGUAACCAAACGGUGAUCUUUCCGGCGAUCACAACCAUGACCAACACUUGGUCUCAAACGGUAAUCUUUCCGGCGAUCACAACCAACUUAUCUCAUCAUCGAACCGGGGUUGUCAUUAAUCAAGUUAUUAUUAAUACUGUUGACUCACAGUGGAACCGACUACGAACUGGGCCCUUAUCCACGGGCGCGGCUAUCGAUAGAUUUAAUAUACACUCUGCAGAGGUUAGUACACUGUACCCACACCACGGAACCCAUGGCCUCGCACUCCCAUUCGGGUGGACCAACGGCGUUCCGACAAAACCGAUCUACUGCCAUGACACUCUCCCGGCCACUCCGACUCACUCCCCAUUGGGCUAGUCCAAGGUGGCCCCGUGUCUACCAAAGACACAACGACCACCGUCGUGGUCCAUCCAAAACAGGGACAAAAGCGCUUAUCAUCCAACCUACGGGCACACAAGGUUAUGUCCGCCUACCUGAUCAGGGUAAGCACGCCCAUAACCUUCCCUAGUUGGAGGCACCGGCGAGAGACACGACAAUAGACCCAGUUAGGACCUUCCCAUACCGGCAAGUGUGGUUGCACUGGUCAGCUCGAUAUGGUGGCACCAUGACUCAGCCAACAGUUGUUCAAGUUCAAUUUAAUCUGGUUAAACUUGAAUGCAAAUAUGCUGAGCCAUGAUAAAAUAACAUGAUGCAAUUGCAAAGCAUGAGCAUGAUAUCAACAUAAGCAUGAGAGUACGACAUAACUAUCCACUAUAUCAACAAUGAAUCAUAUCCAACUGAGCAUGGCAUACUGACUAACAUGAACAUCACAAGUACAUACUUCUCAGAAACAUAGCAUGACCACUAGCAUCAACAAUAAAUAUCAUGCAAGAACAUAACAACAAUGCAAGCGUUUAACCAACGGGAUGCAAUGAAACAUGCAUAACAACGACACUCGGAAUAGACGAUAGUCAUGCACCGAAGACGAUUACCGACAUCAACAUGUACUUCUAGCAAGCAUAAGCAUAUGAAAGGAAUACUGGCAACUAGCAGGGCAUGAUAAUCAGGUGCAUAACAACAUAGCAAGAAAGUAAGCACUAACCCAGAAGCAACAACGAUAACCAUAUUUUAAACAAGCAAACUUUUAAUAAAUAUUCAAGUUGAAAACUAGGGCCACUGCAUGACUAUCAUGCAAGUGGGUAUUGUGGCUUGCUUGGGGGUGAAGAAGGCACCGGGAAGGAGUGCGGUGAAGCCGCAGAAAGACUUGCCGGAAACAGUUCUCUCUCGGAGGGGCUGUUUACGUGCAAGGGCAAAAAGGUCAUUUUCACAGUGUCAAACCAUACUGAAAAUGGAACCAAUAGAACGGGCUCGAUGAAACGAAGACAUGGGCUUUGGAAUCACCUCAUUUGGAGUUGUGGUUAAAAAGAUACGAAGGGUUGAAGUUCAGGGACUCUGCAAAAAUAUCAUCACAAACAAGUCCCUCAGUGGAUAAGACAGAGGCGCAACUUUAGAAAUCCGCUUUCUGAUUAAGAAAACGCAUUCUGGGCUGAAACAGAGAGGAAAUACGCUUCCUCUAAAAGAAAACGUACUCAGGGUAAUGUAUGCGUUCUUUACGCGAAAACGUACUGGCGUGUUUUACGCCUCCACUUAAACACGUGGCAGAGGCGGGGCAGGGGCUUGAGCAGCUGACGUGCGGGUCCCGCGGGUGGGGCCUGUCACUUAUCUAGGUCAGCGUGGCAAGGCCGGGCUCUGGGUCGAUGACGCGUGGGGCCCGCCGCAUCUUCUCUCUCCUCCCACGCCUCUUUCUUCUUCCCCCCGGGUCUGCUCCUCCUCUCCUCGACAGAACGCAGGGCAGGGGCGCUGCCGUCGCCAGGCACGGCGGCUCCGGCCAUCUCUGGCCAAGGGAAGGCCACCGGCAAGCGCGACGCGUCCCACCGCAUCCAUCCAGAGAGGAAACGAGCGCCGGGGAGAAGCGGGAUGGCGGCGAGGGGUUGCAGCGGCCGAGGCAGAGGCGGCGGCUCACCUUGGGAGCCGCGGCCACAUGCACUCCGGCGACGAACGAAUGGGUUGGGGAGGCUCUACGGGGCACGUAGGAGACGAUGGUGGUGGUGGAACGGAGGGAACGGGCUUGGUUCGCCGGAAUCGAAGUGGACAGAGACGGCGGCCAUGGCGGCGAUGGUGGACACAGAGAGCUCCUCGAGCUCGUUUGAG
rnacentral:lncRNA from 1 species